GACGAACGCUGGCGGCGUGCUUAACACAUGCAAGUCGAACGGUAAGGCCCUUCGGGGUACACGAGUGGCGAACGGGUGAGUAACACGUGGGUGAUCUGCCCUGCACUUCGGGAUAAGCCUGGGAAACUGGGUCUAAUACCGGAUAGGACUCCGGACUGCAUGGUCUGGGGUGGAAAGCUUUUGCGGUGUGGGAUGGGCCCGCGGCCUAUCAGCUUGUUGGUGGGGUGAUGGACGACCAAGGCGACGACGGGGAGCCGGCCUGAGAGGGUGACCGGCCACACUGGGACUGAGAUACGGCCCAGACUCCUACGGGAGGCAGCAGUGGGGAAUAUUGCGCAAUGGGCGCAAGCCUGAUGCAGCGACGCCGCGUGAGGGAUGACGGCCUUCGGGUUGUAAACCUCUUUCAGCAUCGACGAAGCGAAAGUGACGGUAGGUGCAGAAGAAGGACCGGCCAACUACGUGCCAGCCGCCGCAGUAA
rnacentral:rRNA from 1 species